CUGUCAGCACAGAGCCUGACGUGGGGCUUGAACUCACGAACUGAGAGAUCAUGACCUGAGCUGAAGUCGGACGCUUAACCGGCUGAGCCACCCAGGAACCCCCAUGAGCUUUUUUUUAACAGAUGCUUUUUACUUGUAUGGAAUUUUUAGAGAUUUACAAAAAUACUGGAUGGGAACAAAUCCCUCUGUUUUUGCAGGUUUGCUUAUUUUAUGAUUUGCUGAGAGCUAUUCUAAAAAAUCAACUUGUGCUUGCUCUGCCCUUUCAUAGACACUACAGAAGAGUAGUAGGUAUGAAGUAAAUGAGAAGAAGAUUCUCUACACUGUACCUAGACAAUUUAGCCUGAGAGAUACACGUGACAGAAUCCUGAACUGUGUUCCUGAGGGAAAAAAUGUGAAGCUGUGUUUGUGUUCCAGUAUUUCAAGUGCUUAAACUUUCUUUGUGUUGCCAUGAGUAAUGCUUUUAAGGUAAUUCAGUCACAGUCACAAUGCAAGGAGGGAGAAAAUGUUGGAAGAAAACUGAUUUCUCCCUUUUUGUGCCUUCAGAGAUUCUCACGGAUAGUAAGGGAAUAAGGGUUAGAGUUGGGGCACAACUGAAACAAAGGGAUGGCAAGAGUAGCUUUGGUAGCAAAGUCAGUGUCCUGUUACAAUCUGUGUCUGUACCUGUGACAGGGGUUCUUAUUUACUGUAAAUAAUCACGAGAGUCAUAAGAUAUUCAAGAGGACUGAAUACUUACAAGGAAGACUGAAUCAAGAUGACUAUUAUCUGGAUCAAGCUUUCUGUAAAGAACCAUACGGGCUCUACAACUACUCCUCUUUGCCACAAGAAUACGAAAGUAAACAUAGACAAUAUUUGAAUAAAUGAACGUAGCUGUGUUGUAUAGAA